CCUACGGGAGGCAGCAGUGAGGAAUAUUGGUCAAUGGGCGCAAGCCUGAACCAGCCAAGUCGCGUGAAGGAAGACUGCCCUACGGGUUGUAAACUUCUUUUAUAAAGGAAUAAAGUGAUGCACGUGUGCCUUUUUGUAUGUACUUUAUGAAUAAGGAUCGGCUAACUCCGUGCCAGCAGCCGCGGUAAUACGGAGGAUCCGAGCGUUAUCCGGAUUUAUUGGGUUUAAGGGGAGCGUAGAUGGGUUGUUAAGUCAGUGGUGAAAGUUUGGGGCUCAACCGUAAAAUUGCAAUUGAUACUGGAAGACUUGAGUAUAGUUGAGGUAGGCGGAAUGCGUGGUGUAGCGGUGAAAUGCUUAGAUAUCACGCAGAACUCCGAUUGCGAAGGCAGCUUACUAAUCUGUAACUGACAUUGAUGCACGAAAGCGUGGGGAUCAAACAGGAUUAGAUACCCCAGUAGUC
rnacentral:rRNA from 1 species